rnacentral:rRNA from 1 species
GAUGAACGCUCGCGGCAGGCCUAAUACAUGCAAGUCGGACGGGAUCCAUUGAUAGCUUGCUAUCAAUGGUGAGAGUGGCGCACGGGUGCGUAACGCGUGAGCAACCUGCCUCCAUCAGGGGGAUAGCCUCUCGAAAGAGAGAUUAACACCGCAUAAUAUCAACAGUUCGCAUGUUCAGUUGAUUAAAUAUUUAUAGGAUGGAGAUGGGCUCGCGUGACAUUAGCUAGUUGGUAGGGUAACGGCUUACCAAGGCGACGAUGUCUAGGGGCUCUGAGAGGAGAAUCCCCCACACGGGUACUGAGACACGGACCAGACUCCUACGGGAGGCAGCAGUAAGGAAUAUUGGGCAAUGGGCGGAAGCCUGAACCAGCCAUGCCGCGUGCAGGAUGACUGCCCUAUGGGUUGUAAACUGCUUUUGUCCAGGAAUAAACCUAAAUACGAGUAUUUAGCUGAAUGUACUGGAAGAAUAAGGAUCGGCUAACUCCGUG